UACGGAGGAUGCAAGCGUUAUCCGGAAUGAUUGGGCGUAAAGCGUCCGCAGGUGGCUGUGUAAGUCUGCUGUUAAAGAGUGAGGCUCAACCUCAUAAAAGCAGUGGAAACUACACGGCUAGAGUGCGUUCGGGGCAGAGGGAAUUCCUGGUGUAGCGGUGAAAUGCGUAGAUAUCAGGAAGAACAUCGGUGGCGAAGGCGCUCUGCUGGACCAUAACUGACACUCAGGGACGAAAGCUAGGGGAGCGAAUGGG
rnacentral:rRNA from 1 species